AGCGGACAGAAGGGAGCUUGCUCCCGGAUGUUAGCGGCGGACGGGUGAGUAACACGUGGGUAACCUGCCUGUAAGACUGGGAUAACUCCGGGAAACCGGAGCUAAUACCGGAUAGUUCCUUGAACCGCAUGGUUCAAGGAUGAAAGACGGUUUCGGCUGUCACUUACAGAUGGACCCGCGGCGCAUUAGCUAGUUGGUGGGGUAAUGGCUCACCAAGGCGACGAUGCGUAGCCGACCUGAGAGGGUGAUCGGCCACACUGGGACUGAGACACGGCCCAGACUCCUACGGGAGGCAGCAGUAGGGAAUCUUCCGCAAUGGACGAAAGUCUGACGGAGCAACGCCGCGUGAGUGAUGAAGGUUUUCGGAUCGUAAAGCUCUGUUGUUAGGGAAGAACAAGUGCGAGAGUAACUGCUCGCACCUUGACGGUACCUAACCAGAAAGCCACGGCUAACUACGUGCCAGCAGCCGCGGUAAUACGUAGGUGGCAAGCGUUGUCCGGAAUUAUUGGGCGUAAAGGGCUCGCAGGCGGUUUCUUAAGUCUGAUGUGAAAGCCCCCGGCUCAACCGGGGAGGGUCAUUGGAAACUGGGAAACUUGAGUGCAGAAGAGGAGAGUGGAAUUCCACGUGUAGCGGUGAAAUGCGUAGAGAUGUGGAGGAACACCAGUGGCGAAGGCGACUCUCUGGUCUGUAACUGACGCUGAGGAGCGAAAGCGUGGGGAGCGAACAGGAUUAGAUACCCUGGUAGUCCACGCCGUAAACGAUGAGUGCUAAGUGGUUAGGGGGUUUCCGCCCCUUAGUGCUGCAGCUAACGCAUUAAGCACUCCGCCUGGGGAGUACGGUCGCAAGACUGAAACUCAAAGGAAUUGACGGGGGCCCGCACAAGCGGUGGAGCAUGUGGUUUAUUCGAAGCACGCGAGAACCUUACCAAGUCUUGANAUCCUCUGACACCCUAGAGAUAGGCUUUCCCUUCGGGACA
rnacentral:rRNA from 1 species